GCGGCAUCGCUGAGCAGUAAAACACAGCGAUGGCCCGGAGAAUGGCGAGCGCAAGGAGCGCCGGGCAGGAUCCUUCUGAUGGCACAGGGUACUCAGAAAAUAUUUUUCCCUUAGAGUCCCACUGAAACAUUCUCAGUGCAAUCUCCAUUAAGUGCUAGGAGUCUGGAGAAACUGGAGAAGAGCCCAAGAGACAUUUUUCAUCCUGAGAUACAAAAGGAUUUAUUGGUUCUUGAAGGGCAAGAGGGAUCGGUGAAUUUUAAAUUUGGAGUCCUCUAUGCUAAGGAUUGUCAGCUUACAGGUGAUGAAAUGUUCAGUAAUGGUGACUUUUCCACCUUCUCCUUAAUUGUUUUGCUCAUCUGAA